AGAGCGCGGAGCGGGGCGCAGAGCAGAAGCACCAGCAGUGUGAUGACAAUCGGAUCGAUUCCGCACCUCCCAGCCCGGUAGCUGCGUUGCUCCGACGCUCUCCUGCAGUCGUCGUGGCAGCUCUGGCUCCGGGUCCCCGAUUGGUCACAGCCCUUUGGGCGCAGCCCCUCUAGUCUGAGGCCGGAACACUCUGCCCGCGCAGCUCUGCUGCGCCCCGGCAGAAGGCGGGCAAAAUCGCCACAGCAACGCUGGCCUCAGGCUUCCAACUGGGUACCCGUGUUGGUCGCCUUUGCUGCUCCCGAACCAGGCCCUGGCGGAGGGGAUCCAACGAGUGUUCCCUUGGCCUGAAUACAAGAGGGUGCCCCGACGGGUGAGCAGAGGCCCCCUUCCGAGGAGAGCCUGGUUGGAUCCUGGUGCAGCAGAGCUUCCAGGGGAAGAAGAGAACUGGGGGAGGGCCUGGAAAAGGUUGGGGGAGCUGGGGGCGCCACGAGCGUGGAGGGAGGCAGUGUUGACUGGAUGAUGGCUCUUAGCCCUCCGGACAUCAUCACCAUGCGACGUCCCUUGUUCCCAAAGUAUCCCCGGUGUGCCCUUGGUACGCAGCAGGCACUCAAUAAAUACUUGUGAAUGAACGAA